UACGUAGGGUGCGAGCGUUGUCCGGAAUUAUUGGGCGUAAGGAGCUCGUAGGCGGUCUGUCGCGUCGAUCGUGAAAACUUGGGGCUUAACCCUGAGCUUGCGGUCGAUACGGGCAUGACUGGAGUUCGGCAGGGGAGACUGGAAUUCCUGGUGUAGCGGUGAAAUGCGCAGAUAUCAGGAGGAACACCGGUGGCGAAGGCGGGUCUCUGGGCCGAUACUGACGCUGAGGAGCGAAAGCGUGGGGGAGCGAACAGG
rnacentral:rRNA from 1 species